rnacentral:rRNA from 1 species
AAUCAACGCUGGCGGCGUGCCUCAGACAUGCAAGUCGAACGAUUAAACUUCUCUUCGGAGAAGAUAUAAAGUGGCGCACGGGUGAGUAACACGUAGGUAAUGUACCUUUGGGUGGGGAAUAACUUAGGGAAACUUAAGCUAAUACCGCAUAAUGCAGCGGCUCCUUCGGGAGACAGUUGUUAAAGAUUUAUCGCCUAAAGAGCAGCCUGCGGCAGAUUAGCUAGUUGGUAAGGUAACGGCUACCAAGGCUACGAUCUGUAUCCGACCUGAGAGGGUGGUCGGACACACUGACACUGAAUAACGGGUCAGACUCCUACGGGAGGCAGCAGUCGGGAAUUUGGGCAAUGGGCGAAAGCCUGACCCAGCAACGCCGCGUGAAGGAUGAAGUCUCUCGGGAUGUAAACUUCGAAAGAAUAGGAAGAAUAAUGACGGU